CUGGCCCACCGGGCUACGAGAUGCGCUUGGGGGGAGCCAGGACGGAGGAAGAGGAGAGAGAAAGAGAAGUAAAGUCAGAGAGGCAGGAAGCUAGAGAGGGGCUCUGAGCAGGGGCCAGAGGGAGAUGAGCUAUGAAGACCCACAGAGUGAAGUAACAGAGGGAUGGGGGUGAAGGGGAGAAGAGAGACAGGGAGAUGGAAGGAAAAACGCAGAAAUGGAGAGACAAAAUGAGAGAGACAGAUACAGACACAGAGUUAGGCCAAGGAGAGACAAAGACAGAUACACAACAAGGCAAGAGGCGAAGAUGAGGAGGGACAGAGACUGAGAAAGAAAAUCAGGCGGGCGCGGC
rnacentral:lncRNA from 1 species